GCCUGGGUGGCUCAGUCGGUUAAGCAUCUGACUUCGGCUCAGGUCAUGAUCUCGCGGUCCGUGGGUUCAAGCCCUGCGUCAGGCU
rnacentral:tRNA from 1 species